GGAUUCUACCUGGGGUGCGCGUAAUAGAAUUGAGGAAACUAUCCGGAAGUACGAGAGGACCCCAGAUAUAACGCCACUGGUGACGAAUUGUUUGGCCACAAGCAUGUUUGGUAGCUACGCGUUGACAGGAUAAUUGCUGAAAGCAUAUGAAGCAAGAAACUUUUUCCAAGACAAGUUCUUCUAUUAGUGAAGUGACUGGAGUAGCGUUCAAGUCUAGGACGUUGAUCGGCGCAGUGUUUAGUCUCCGUAAGGAAAAAGCGCAC
rnacentral:rRNA from 11 species